UACGGAGGGUGCAAGCGUUAUCCGGAUUCACUGGGUUUAAAGGGUGCGUAGGUGGGCAGGUAAGUCAGUGGUGAAAUCUCCGGGCUUAACCCGGAAACUGCCAUUGAUACUAUCAGUCUUGAAUUCGGUCGAGGUUGGCGGAAUGUGUCGUGUAGCGGUGAAAUGCUUAGAUAUGACACAGAACGCCGAUUGCGAAGGCAGCUAGCUAGACCGACAUUGACGCUGAGGCACGAAAGCGUGGGGAUCAAACAGG
rnacentral:rRNA from 1 species